rnacentral:lncRNA from 1 species
AGAAUUAAUAAUAAAAGUGAAAUGGCUUACAGAAGCAGAAAUUCCUCUGCUGACGACUCUUUGCCUUAUAAUUCCCCACAUAUCUUCUCCUAAGUAGCUUAAAACAAACUUAACUAACAAAACAAUAUCAAUCGAAUUGCUAGGUCAAACAAUUACCGCCUUAUCAGGACGAGUACUGAUAAUAAUAAAUAAUUUUUUUUUAUUAUAUGUGCCAGAAACCAGGAACUGAAUCCAAAACAUUGAUUUGCAUCGAAGGAUGUGAUUAUAAUGCAUAUAAUUGUACGUUAUCUAUAAGAGAGAUGGAGAAAUUAUUCAAACCUGCUAGGUACGGUGGCGCUGGGUUGGUGGAGUUUGAAUGUGAGAAUGGAUACCGAUCCUGGGCGGCCGAGAUAUGGAGUAUUAUGCAAUAUGUCUGUU